rnacentral:rRNA from 1 species
AUUGAACGCUGGCGGCAGGCCUAACACAUGCAAGUCGGGCGAGCGGCGGACGGGUGAGUAAUGUAUGGGGAUCUGCCUGAUGGAGGGGGAUAACUACGGGAAACUGUAGCUAAUACCGCGUACCAUAGGAUGAGCCCAAGUGGGAUUAGGUAGUUGGUGAGGUAAAGGCUCACCAAGCCGAAGAUCUCUAGCUGGUCUGAGAGGAUGACCAGCCACACUGGUACUGUGCCACGGCCCAGACUCCUACGGGAGGCAGCAGGUGGGAAUAUUGCGCAAUGGGGGCAACCUGACGCAGCCAUGCCGCGUGAAUGAAGAAGGCCUUCGGGUUGUAAAGUUCUUUCGGUAGCGAGGCGUUAACUACAGAAGAAGCACCGGCUAACUCCGUGCCAGCAGCCGCGGUAAUAC